rnacentral:pre_miRNA from 1 species
CAAGUACUCCCUCUGUCCGGAAUUACUUGUCAUCAAAAUGGAUGUGUCUAGAACUAAAAUACAUCUAGAUACAUCCAUUUCAAUGACAAGUAUUUUCGGACGGAGGGAGUGCAAG